GCUAUGGGAGAACGAAUGGCAUGUUUGUUAGCAACUCAUCCGAACACGUUUGAAGGCUAUAACUUGGCUACAACUACGAGUAACGUAUUGAAAGGGGUAGCAAUUAGCCAAUGACAGAACAAAAUACGUUGGCGUGGGUAAAGUAGAGUGAAAGAACAUGAACUAAGAGGCCAAAAGUUCAACGAAAAAACAACUAAAAGCCGGGGUUACGUAACAUAUAAGAGGCAACAACUCUGGAUGAGGUCUAAAAUCUACAGAGAAUAAACUAUGGCGCAGUUCAUUUCCAACUGUAAGCAGCGGCGGCGGCGCGGCAGCAGCGCAUCUCAAACUGUGGCUCGGCGGCUCUCAAACUAUGAAAUGCAGACUACUGACAAUUAAUAACAGCAGGACAAUGACACUAUUACAUAGACAGGGACUGUUCCGAAAUAUUUUCUAGGACGGCACGGAAUGAAAACUGUAUCUAAAUUUGGAUGGGAGUUUCAGGGAAUAAUUGCAUUCACUUUAAUGGAAUUACGGAAUGGAUUGUAAUGGCAAUGGGAAGGGGAAAACAGGUUUUUAUGAAAUUCUUUGUGCCCGGCAAACCAAAAUGCUAUGAAAAGAUAUAGAUGGAUAUAUAGCAAAAAAUUAUAUGCAAUGUGGCGGAUGAGAUCUUGGGAGAACGCAUGAAAUCGACUUAUAGAUGUGCUAGCUGACUCUCCUAUACCCCUCAUUCUAACAUAUUCACCACGGCAAGAAUUGGGACCCAAACUGGGUUGACGUAACUAAAACUCAGAGAUCAUCAUUUAUAGUGGAAGAAUUGCCAACUACUCUGAAAACUAAAAAAAUUAUGGCAAAAUCAUAGAAAAAUGAAAACGA